UAUAUUGAUAAGUGAUAAAAUCAUGAUAUGAAUUUCUGAACGCGCACAUGCGUAUACAUGCAAUCAUAUGAGCAGAUAAUGAGAUUAAUAUGAUAGACGAUGUAUUUAUACACACAUAUAUUGUUGUGAUAAAUUCAAUUUCUAUUACUAAGAAAUAAUACAAAAAUAUUUAUUAGUAUAAUAUAUUAUGUAAAAAUCAAAUAAAAUUAUUAAAUAUUUAAGUCCAAAUUGACUGUAAAUAGUACUAUGCAUUCAUAUAAAAUUAUACUCAUAUCAUAAUUAUAUUUACAUGUCAAUAUUGAAUUGCCGACGGCAAAACGCAAAAGCAUACAUUCAUACAUAUGUAUGUAUUUGCAUAUGUAUCACACACAAGCGAUCCUCUAGUUGAAAGCUAACAUGAAGCAUGAAAAUAUCACAAUGCUGUUGUUGGGAGUAUCAUAAGGAGCAUGCAUGCAUACGUAUAUUAGGCUUAGAAAAAAUCUAACUACUUGUAUAUAGUAUACAAAAGCAUACAGGAUUUUUUCCGCCAACCAAAAGUCACCUGCAUAUAAAUACACAUGUAUGUAUAUUGCCCUGCAUUGGCUCUCUUAUUUACAUUUACAUGUUAUUCUCAUAGACUCUAAAAACCCCUUAAUCGCUGUUAAAUGUGGUGAAACUCGCUCAUAACUUGUCUGUGGUGAGACUCUUCCAUCUCUGCCGAGUUAGCCAAAAAUAUUUUUACGUUAUUCGCGCCGUGAAUCUUCUCUAUAUUAAACGUUCUCUGAAGAAGUUUUACUUCAAAAAUUUGGGGACAAUCGGAUGAUGGGAAGACGGCGCACAUUGGGAUAUCUGUGGCCGAAAUUCAAAAAUUUCGUGUUGUCUGAUUUGAAUGAAAAUUUCACAGUUUGUUAGCAACUAUCUAUACAUUAUUUUCCCAAAGUAUUAGGAUUCUAUCUGCAUUAGUUUUUUGUCCAGAAAUACCCAAAGUUGGUGAAUGUAGAGAAAAUCAAAAUUAGCAAAAAAUUUACUCAAAAGUCAAAUCAUUGAUACAAUAAAACAACUAUUGAAAUUCAACUUUGUUAUUAUUUUUCAUUUGUAAUAUGUAUCAAAGAAAAAAUUGCUUCAAAAUCCAUUGAAAAAAAUAAUGCAUAAAAAAUUUUGUGGAACAACAUAAUUUGGACGUCAAAAUUUCAAUGUUCUUCAAAUUCAAAGUGGUGCAUCUUUUUAGCGCUGUCUACCGCUGUCGACAUACAUAUACCGAAUUAAAGCCUGAAGUCUCAGCUAAACGAUAAAAAAAAAAUUCAGCUGCCCCAAAUUGCCCCCCUUGAAAAAAACAAUGUCAGAAUGUCUCGAAGAUGUAAAAAAGUUGCUAAAAGAGACUUGAUAAAAGAGAAUUUAGUUGUAUGGGAGGUGGGCGUAAAAGUGGGCGGAUAUUAUUGAAAUUUAACACCAACAUAUAUAAUGUCAUAAAAAUGCUAUGUACCAAAAAUCAGUGCUGUAGGUCAAAAAUUAAGUUUCACCUUAUAUGGGAGGUGGGCGUAAAAUAAAAUUUUUUAAAAAAAUGUUUUCAUUUUUUUCUUGAUUGGAAUCCAUAACAAUGAUGUACCAAAUGUCAUUGUCCUGCGACAACUCCUUAUAAUUUUAGCCACAGUAUGCACUAGCAGAAACCUAUGUGCGGCGCGGGAACGUUUUAAAAUUAAAAAUUGCCUUACUAUAGGAAAAAACAAGUUUUAUGUAUUCAAGUAUCAAUUUUUCUUUUAGUGUAUUAUUUUUCUCCAAUUUUUUGCAUUAUAUUAACUUAGAACUACUACUUAAGGGAAAUAUUUUUGUUCAUAUAAAUUUAUUUAAUACAUCUGGAAAUAUUAAAACUUAAAUUAAUUCUGAUUUUUUAUAGGACUUAUAUUUUUUUUGUAUUCUUCAACAACUUGAAGGAGGAACUGUUUUUCUUCUUCUUUAUGAAAAAGUUGGUUGACAACCUGUACUUCAUAAAAACUGUUAAAGUUCUUUUGGAUACAAAUUCGCUUAAAUCCGAAUUGCCUAAGUCACUUAAUUUUUUUGUUUUGCGAUUGUUUUGUAGUUUAUUAGCUGGCUCUUCUGAUUUUAAAUUUUUUACCAUUUUUUUCUUAACAACUACAGAAACAUUGAAAUCAAAGAAAGCCAUUGCGACGUUUUCCUUUGACAAAUACCACAUGUGUUGUUGCAUUUUUCUCAGCAAUUCCGGAGAAUUACUUGGGUUCACUUUUUCAUAAUUAAUACAUUCUUUUACAAAGUUUAAAUCAUGCAGGGGAGAGGUAAUUGCAUUAGAGCAGUGGUUCCCAAACUUAUUUUGUCCACCGCCCACUUUGAAAAUAAAUAUUUUUUUAGCGCCCCUAUUUUUUCACCUAUUUAAAAACCACUAUAACUUCAAAUUAAUUAUUGUCACCUAUAUAUGUAUAUUAACGGAGAAUUCUAAACGAAACUUUUACUUUAACCAGCAACUUGAAACCUGAGCGCAGUACGUAACAUACAACGGCGCUAAGGUCUCAAGUUAACUCUUACGGGCUCCACCUGCCAAUAAGAAUGAUUAUUGAAACACAACUUUAUAGUAUUAAAACAUAGAAUCUUUUAUUAAAAAUAGAACUAAAAUAAUCGAUCCAUAUAUAAAAACUAAUGUGAGGGAUGAAUCUGAUGCUGUUUAAUAAGUUUGUUAAUAUCAGGUUCCAAUUUAAUCAAGAACAGUCGCAAGUCGCCACGUUCGGUAACAAGCAAACGAUUUCAAUUUUUUGCAAGCAGUGUUGUCACAGCUCUAAAUCCACGUUCACACAAAUAUGACGAUGGGAAUGCUAUCAAGAAUCGUUGAACGAUUGACCACAAUCCAGGGUACAAUUGCGAGAUCGGUUUUUGUAGCCAAAAUUCUUGGUAACCAUUUUUGAACUUGAUUUUUAUUUCCUUGUUUGUUGUCAAUUCUAUAAGUUCUUCUUCCAGCUGAGGUGGCAUUGCUGUGUUGACAUUUGAAAACGGAUCCAACACCCAGUCUGGUAUUUCCAAGUUCAAAAUGUCCUGGUAUCGUUCGGUGAAGUGUUGGCAGUAGGCAAACAAUUCGUCGUUACUACAUGAUACUGAUAAAUUCGGAAAAUUUUGAAACUCACGUCUGCCCAGUUUUUUUUGUGUAAAAGCAGUUUGGCAGCGAAAGCAGCAACGACGUUUUUUGUUUUAAUUAAAUUUAGUUUAUCGCCUUGCAGUUGGAGAUUCAUGUCGUUGAACAAUUUAUACAGGUCUGUCAUGUAAGCUAUAUCAUUCUUUGAUGUUAUGAGCUUGUCUUAAAAUUCUGUGUCUUUAGUUUCCAAGAACUCUAUAACAGAGUAAAACAGGUUGUAGAAUCGAGUCAGACAAUUGAAAUCCUUCUCAUUAGUAACACAAAGCUGAUGAAAUAAUCUAUCAUUCAAAAAGCUGUUGCGGAUUUUAUUGACUGCUUUGAUGACAUAUUGCAGUGAUUGAUAUAGUUUUUCACUUAAGUUUCUAGCAACUAAAUGUUAUCUAUGAAUAACGCAAUGUACACCAAGGACAUAUGGAAUUUUAAUAGCCGGAGCGCCAUCCGUAGCAAUUGAAAUAAUAUUUUUCAAAGGAAUCUCUUUCUUAUCGCAAAACUUUUCCAAUAUAUUGAAUAUGGUUUCGCCUUUUGUAUCGGUCUCUAAAUUUCUAGCAAAUAAUAGUUCUUCACAUAUUUUCUCAUCUUUAAUAAACCUCAUGGAAGGCAACAACAAUGCUUCAUUAGUUGGUAUAGUGGACUCAUCGAGCUGAAUUGAGAAUUGGCUUGUUCUCAGGUGAUCGCACAAUGAUUCUUCAAUGUUUUCAGCCAUUUCAUAAAUCCGUCUUUGCACAGAAUUAUUACUCAAAGGAAUUUUUCGGACAAUAUAGUUCAAAAGCUCAAAACGUGCGCAUCAGCUACCUACCCGACGUCAUUUCGCAAGUGAUAAAAUAAAUUUUUCAAGAGCUCAAAGCAUGCGCUACAUCAGCUCGAACCUACCUACCCUACACCUUUGCGCAAAUUAUUAUAUUAUGAUAGCAAAUGCCCACAUACACAUUUGGCAAUGGCAAUAGCAAUACGUUUGACGGUUAGUAUUCUGUCGGGAUGCCCCGUUAUGAAUGAGCGUCCGAUUGACAUGAUUUUCAUUUUUUCUAUAUUCAAUAAAAUAGGACAGAUAUAUGAACUACGCGGAGAGAAAUAUAGAACCGAGUUUGAGCAAUCUUUUAAUUCAUAUUAGUUGAUGUUCACAAGUUUUUGUUGAGAGCCGAGAGCUCAUGUAGUCGUUGUCUAAGAGGCCUCCUAGCUAAAUAAAAUUACAAAUAACCCCCCAGGCCUCUACACAAUAGGGUGGGUCGAUUCCGGACUUUUUUCGAUUCGGUAUUUCUAAUAGUGCGGAAAAGUUGCCUUAGUACUACCUGAUUCCAAUGCAACUUUUUGUUUUGAGAUCGGAUUGCAUCUUCAAUCCGAACCUCGGCCUUGAAAUUUCGGAAAUUCGCCUAAAAUCGUGAAAUUGUCUACCUAGCACCUGAAAUACGCAUCUCAUGGCAAAAUGUAUAAAACAAAAGUUAUUUGUCACGUCAUUUGCAACCGAAAUGGUGAUCAUGGCCGUAGAACGAACCGUUCCCGAGAUACGAGCGAAAAGGCGGCGCGCCACAGCGCAAGGUGAAAAUCGGCUUGCGGCCACACUUCUUGACGUUGAUUUCGCCGAGUGCUAUCACUCACAUUCAUUCACCUACGCCAAAGGACACGUUCGGAUAGAUCUCCACACAAAUAUUUUUUCAUCGAGUUCCUUCACUCUUGUCGGUGAUUUCGCCGAGUUCUAUCACUUACAUUCAUUUCCCUGCGCCAUACGACACGUUCGGACUGGUCUCCACAUAAAUAUUUUUUCAUCGAGUUCCUUCACUCUUGUCGUUGAUUUCGCCAGGUGCUAUCACUUAUAUUCUCUCAACAAAACACAGAACUCAAAAUGUCUGUAUCUAAAUUUAAAUUUAGACAGAAAUGUCCUGUGUUUGGCAUAUAUCCGUACAAUCUCUCUGAGUCCCAGUUACCUACUUACCAGGAUGUUCUUUUGUGUUAUCAGUUUGAAAGAUUUGGUAUAGGGCGACUCCGAGGCGACAACUAUGAACCUAGGAGUAAAGAGGUUACAGAAAUAGUUGCAAAAAAGGUUGAAAAUACUUUCAAAAAGUCAUCUAUUCCGAUAGUUUCACACACCAGAGUUGUACAAAUGCUCACCACAUACCAUAAGAAAAUGUUUUUAAGGAACCCAAUAGGUUUGAGCUCUAAAAGAGACGAUUUUGUCUCUUCUGCCGGAAAAUUAUUUGACAUCGCUGCUUGUAAAUGCAUUUAUUUUUCUUCUUGCACUUGUCCAAAGGAAAGGAAAGUUCCUAUCAAUGAACAACCAUUUCUCUAGGACCAGAGAACCACAAGAAUUGGUCGCAUUGGAAGUGUUGAUCUACCUGAAACAAAAAAGAUUACAAAGAAAAAUGAACGUAAAGAAAAGCUUUCAAAACGUCAUUCAACAUCAGCACUUACCAGAAAAGUAUCAGCUAGAACACGUGACCAUUCAGAUCAGCCAGACUCUCAUACAGACGACAACAAUGUAGGCGCGUCGCACAUUGAUUCUUCGAAAAACGAUGCUGAUGAUGAAUUUUCUCUUCCAUUCUCUAAAACCAAACAAAACACACUAGUAUUAGAACACACUGCUUUAGCUGCCCAAAGAUUUGGAGUAAGUGAUAGAGCAGCGGCCUUGAUUGUUUCAUCUGCUUUUCUGGAUGCCAAAAAAGCAGGUUUGAUAACAGAGGAUCAGGCUAGCUUUGUCACUGACAAAUGCAAGAUUAGUCGGGCAAAAAAAAGUGUUGGAGUUAACCUCCAAAACACCGAAACUAUUGACUCUGUAUAUGGGCUGUAUUUUGACGACCGCAAAGACAAUACACUUACACAAGUCAGCGAAGGUGAAAGGUACUACCGCGACACUGUCAAAGAGGAACAUAUUUCUCUUAUAGCGGAACCUGGUUGUCAUUACUUUGGCCACGUCACCUCUCCUUCCGGGUCAGCUGAGGAUGAGACGCAAGUUAUAUGGCAACAUUUACAAGACAAUUCAGUUGAUGUGGAACAUCUAGAAGUUGUCGGUGCUGAUGGCACCAACACGAACACAGGUUGGAAAGGUGGAAUCAUUCGGAAACUAGAAGAAAGAAUAGGUAGGCCAUUACAGUGGGUUGUUUGUCUUCUACAUUUCAACGAACUUCCAUUCCGUGCUCUUUUCGAACACAUAGAUGGUGUCUCAAAGAGUCCAAAUACAUUCUCUGGCGACAUAGGUAAACUGCUCCCUUAUUGUGAGAAGUUGCCUGUUGUCAAAUUUGAAAGUUUUCCAUCCUGCCUUACCUUCUGAGGUUAUUAAUCCGACCCAACUUAGCACAGACCAAGCUUAUCUCUAUAAAAUAUCAGAAGCUGUUAUUUCCGGUCAAUGUUCCUCAGAUUUACCGUCGAUGCAUCCAGGUAACAUGUGCAAAUCUCGCUGGCUCACCUGUGCAAAUAGAAUUCUGAGAUUAUACAUUUCUACUGACAAACCAACAAAGGAAAUAAAGAUUUUGGUCAAGUACAAACUUACAGUUUACUCACCUUUGUGGUUCUCAAUAAGAUUCAACAGUUCAAUCAAAGAUGGCUCGCGCCUUCUCUAUGCUGCAAUUCAAAGGUCGAGAUACUCACCCGCUAAACUGCGCAAGGUUGUCGAUUCAUCCAUUCAACAGAAUGCUUUCUUUGCUCUUCCAGAAAACAUUCUCCUUAGUAUGAUGACUGACGAACGGAUAGAAGUCAGAAAGUUGGCCCUUGACCGUCUUAUGGCAGCCAGAGAAGCAGAGUCUGACACCAUAAAUGGAAGAGUUAGAUGUAAUAAAGUGCCAAAGCUGAAUUUCAAAGCUAAUACUUAUUACGACAUGAUUAACUGGAAGACUAUUACCUUGACUGUUCCACCAGUUCUUUGUUCAGUUUCUAACGAAGAACUCAUAAAAGGGCUGUCGGGAGACACUGCAGAGGUAUGGAAAUUUAAUGAAUUCCCCUCUCACACCGUGGCAGUCGAGAGAAUCGUCAAACUGGUGACAGAGGCAUCUUCUAAAGUUAUUGGCCCCCAAUUUCGUGAUCUUUUUAUACGCUCUACACUGAAAUCUAGGCAACAAGUGCCAAAGUUUAGUACAAAAUCUGAUUUUAUCAAUAAAUUUGACACAGAUUCAGACUAAAACAAGCCUGACAUAUGGUUGGUUGGUUGGGUUGGGCUUGGGAGGAACCCGAAGAGCAGCUACCUCCACGCGGUGGGUUCUGGGUGACCAAUACAGGUUAGCUGAGAGCUGCAACAAUUUUGACCUUGCGCUGUGGCGCGCCGUCUUUUCGCUUGUAUCUCGGGAACGGUUUGUCCUACGGCCAUGAUCACAUAUACCAUCUCGGUAGCAAAUGACGUGACAAAUAACUUUUGUUUUACACAUUUUGCCAUGAGAUGCGUAUUUCAGGAGCGAUUUUCACGAUUUUAGCCGAAUUUCCGAAAUUUCAAGGCCGGAGUUGGGGUUGAAGAUGCAAUCCGAUCUCAAAACAAAAAGUUGCAUUGGAAUCAGGAAGUACUUAGGCAACUUUUCCGCACUAUUAGAAAUACCGAAUCGAAAAAAUUCCGGAAUCGACUCACCCUACUACACAACGCACAGUGGGUAAAAGGCGGAAAAAAUAUGUAAUUUUUAACUAUCUAAUUUUAACAAAAUUUCAUUCCAGUAGUGUUUCUAGACAAUGAAUACGGUUUAAUUUAUUACGUAUUUGCGAAUUGACAUUUCAUUGACAUAACAACGUAUUUUUAAAGUCAAAUAAAAAUAGAACUCUUGAAAAUUGUGAAAAAUAUUCAGCCCUAUCACGCAAUCCAUCGUAGCAAAGCUACGAAUACGAAUGUCCGCUACGAAUACGAACAAUUUGCUAUCAUUGAAUUCAUGUGAAUUCGAAACUUUUGUUGCCAGACUUAAUUUAGAAUUUUGACAUUUCGAAAUCAGCUGUGUAGAAGAAAAAAUAAAAAUUAGGAUUAAUAAAAGUGGAAACGUUUAUAUUGAAAUUGAUUUUACGAACAAAAAAUAUGUAUUCGCUAACGUUUUCAUUUAUGUUGCUUGAGGAAGAACGUGAGAGAAGUCGGCGUGAUAUAAAAAUUCACCGAAAAUCACUGAGGGACAGGAGUAACCCUUUCGAUGUGGACGAAACAAUGUACAGUUCAUAAAUCCAUAAAAAUUCAUUGUUAAAUUUUAUUAAAAUUAUUUUUCUAAAACAGGUUUAUUAAAAACUAUCGCUUAAAUAAGGCGGCCUUUACGUAUGUCCUCGAUGUUCUAGAGAGGAAUGCAAGUUCUUCAAGAUCGUCGUCUAUAUCUUUACUUCAUCGAUUGUCUUCAGUUUUACGGUUUUUAGUUGAAGGAGGCUAUCAGCAUGGAGUGGGUAAAGACUUCGAUAUUCCAAUGGCUCAGUCAACAUUUUGUUGCAUCUUAAAAGAAGUAUUGGGAUUGCUUCAGUCUCAUUUGUGCCCUCAGUGGAUAAACCUCGAUUUAAGUGAUGUUGAAAAAAGGGAAGCGAAAAAGGAUUUUUUUUCAGAAAUAUGGAUUUCCAGGCGCGAUUUUAUGUGUAGACGGGACACUUAUUAAAAUCGUUGCCCCAACUAAAGAUAAGUUUCUCUAUUAUAACCGCAAAGGAUACUUUAGUAUCAAUGCCAUGAUUAUAUGUGACAAUAAAAUGAAAAUACGUUAUGUGAAUGUUCAGUUUCCUGGCAGCAAUCAUGACUCUCACAUAUGGAAAUUUAUUUCUCCGUUAGCACAAACCUGUCGUACAAAAAUUCCGCUAAACUUAAAAAUUUUCCGUUCCGAGUGAAUUCAGUGAUCGCAACUCUACGAAUUUCGAACUUACUUUCGGAACUGUUCGAAUUGCAUGAUAGCAGUUUCGUAACUUUCCCGAAAAAACACUCUACGAUGGAUUGCGUGAUAGGGCUGAUUGAGAAAAAUAUGAGAACAGACGUAUGGGGGUUCGACGUUUUAUGCAAUAAGAAGUGACUUUAAAGCCUAUCCAAAUAUAUAUUAUAAUAUAUUAUAAAAUAAUUAUUUUCAUUUCAUAGGCCUAAUUUAUGUCAAUUUUGACAAAGUUUUAAAAUAAAACCAUUUUUUAAACACUUUUACAUAAAAAUUAUAGUUUUGACUAUUAGCUACAUGUACCUACAUAGUCUAGUUAGUCCUAAUAUUUUAUGUACACUUUAAGGGAUUUGAUAACGAAAAAAUGAACUGCGGAUACGUGCGAAUAAGGAUCAAAGAUAGCUAUAACAUUGUCUGUUGCAUUUUCAUUUUUUUUUUCGUUGUUUUGUUAGUUUUUUUGAUUGUUCGGUUUGCUGCUUAGUUGUUAUUUUUUGGAGUUGUCUCUCGUUAUACAACAACAACAAAAUACUAGUUUAGAUGCCUUAUAUUAUUUGAGCUAAUUACACAGUACAACAGCUAAUCUGGGGGGUGAGAAAUUCCAAGUCAGGGUGAUCGUACUAGGUCAGUAUAGUAAAACCCUCAAAGGAUUUAGCGUUCGUAUGUGUCGUAUGUGAUACCGAGCGAAGUGCAAACGGGUGAAAAAAAAUUAACAAAACACGAAAUUUUGAAAUGGCAAAAGAAAUAAAACAUUGUGAUAUUGCAGAAAUUUAAAAUAAUAUUAAAUAAAAUCAAUAUUCAAGCAGCAAUAGAUCCUCAAAAAUUUGAAAUUUAUUGCAUGAAAACUGCGAGGUUAUAUAUCAGCCUUUAUAAAUUUUACUAUAUGCCAAUGACGGUACAUAAAGUUUUAAUGCAUGGAAGUAAAAUUGUUUCAUCCUCUAUUUUACCAUUGGGCAUGCUAUCAGAUGAGGCUCACGAAGCUCGCAAUAAAGAUUACAAGAAAUAUAGGCUUAAUCAUUCUAGAAAAUGCGACAGAAUUUCUACAAAUCAAGAUGUAAUGUACUUGCUUUUAGCUUCAUCGGAUCCUUUUAUUAAUGGUUUCAGAACAAAUCUCAAAAAUAAAACUUUAGAAUUGGACGAUGAUGUUAAAAAAUUACUUGUUGAAUAAAUAAUUAAUAAUA